AUAUCAAUAAGCGGAGGAAAAGAAACCAACAGGGAUUGCCCUAGUAACGGCGAGUGAAGCGGCAACAGCUCAAAUUUGAAAUCUGGCCCUAGGCCCGAGUUGUAAUUUGCAGAGGAUGCUUUUGGCAAAGCGCUUACCGAGUCCCCUGGAACGGGGCGCCACAGAGGGUGAGAGCCCCGUAUGGUAUGACGCCGAGCCUCUGUAAAGCUCCUUCGACGAGUCGAGUAGUUUGGGAAUGCUGCUCUAAAUGGGAGGUAAAUUUCUUCUAAAGCUAAAUACCGGCCAGAGACCGAUAGCGCACAAGUAGAGUGAUCGAAAGAUGAAAAGCACUUUGAAAAGAGGGUUAAAUAGCACGUGAAAUUGUUGAAAGGGAAGCGCUCGUGACCAGACUUGCGCCGGGCGGAUCAUCCAGCGUUCUCGCUGGUGCACUCCGCCCGGCUCAGGCCAGCAUCGGUUUUCGCCGGGGGACAAAAGCUUCGGGAACGUGGCUCCCUUCGGGGAGUGUUAUAGCCCGUUGCUUAAUACCCCGGCGGGGACCGAGGACCGCGCUUCGGCAAGGAUGCUGGCGUAAUGGUCAUCAGCGACCCGUCUUGAAACACGGACCGAGGAGUCAAGCAUUAGUGCGAGUGUUUGGGUGUAAAACCCGCACGCGUAAUGAAAGUGAACGUAGGUGAGAGCUUCGGCGCAUCAUCGACCGAUCCUGAUGUUUUCGGAUGGAUUUGAGUAGGAGCAUUAACGCUUGGACCCGAAAGAUGGUGAACUAUACUUGAAUAGGGUGAAGCCAGAGGAAACUCUGGUGGAGGCUCGCAGCGGUUCUGACGUGCAAAUCGAUCGUCAAAUUUGAGUAUAGGGCGAAAGACUA
rnacentral:rRNA from 1 species